CGCCAAUGAGUGAGGCCACGAAUUCUGAACCAGGACUUCUCCGGUGCCCUGGAACCUCACUGGCUUUUCCCAAAUACUAAAAUCUCCCCAAACCGCCUCCCUCAAGUCCUCUGUUUCCCAAAUCUUCUGCCCUUCCUCCUUCUUUUGCCGCCUUCUGUCUUCAUCUCUCUUGAGUCCUGACUUUGCCCUGUUCAAGCCUCCACUUUCUCCAUUGCUCUGCCCACCUAGCCAGGCUUUUCCCUUCUCUCGCCAGUCCCUGAACCCCUUGAACAUUGAUCGUCCCUGUUCUCAACAGACUCAGAUCUCCCAGGAGCAACUACCUGAGGGUAAAAACGACAAGAAGUAAUGAGAAUUGGGCUGGCAUUUUACCCACUCAGAAGUCCUCUGGAUACAUUGAGUCAGCUGCUCGGAGUCUUCUCAGGCACUGCCUAAGCUCGCCCUUUGAUCGUGUGUCCCCAAACUCUUCUUGGGGAAAACAUAAGUCCUUUCUCUGUACUUUGAGAAGUCCAUUUUCUGAAUUGUUUUCUUUCUUUUUUCUUUAUCUACCUUGUUUUCUCUGAGAUCUGACAGGCAUCUCGUUGAAAGACAGAGUCUCAUGAAGUUGCAGGACUGGGUUCAAACUUGCAGUCCUCCUGCUUCAGCCUCCUGAGUAUACGGGACCAAAGGUAUGUGCCACCAUGAGCAGGAAACUUUUUUUCCUUAAUGAACUACCGUCUUAGUCUGUUUUUGUUGCUAUAAAAAAAAUACUGCCAAGUAAUUUCUAAAGAAUAGACAUUUAUUUAGCUCAUGGCUCUGCAGACUGGAAAUUCAAGAGCAGGUCUCCAGCGUCUGGUCAGCUUCCGCACUGUGAUGUCAAUCCUCCCACCUCUCCACGAUGUUAUGCGAGUCUGUCAAACACCAAGUCUCAUUAGUUGAGAUCAUGGAAAAGGACUGACUUCUGCCUCUGGGUAGAAGGAGCAGGAUCCACCAAUCUUAGAUAGUAAAAUGAUCCAUUAACAGAUCAAAUCGCCCCUUAAGUAAUUUAGAGCAUUGUUAACUUUUCAUCACUGUGACAAAAUACUUG
rnacentral:lncRNA from 1 species